rnacentral:rRNA from 1 species
UACGGAGGGUGCAAGCGUUAAUCGGAAUUACUGGGCGUAAAGCGUGCGUAGGCGGUUCGUUAAGUCUGUUGUGAAAGCCCCGGGCUCAACCUGGGAACUGCAUUUGUGACUGCAUCGCUGGAGUACGGCAGAGGGGGAUGGAAUUCCGCGUGUAGCAGUGAAAUGCGUAGAUAUGCGGAGGAACACCGAUGGCGAAGGCAAUCCCCUGGGCCUGUACUGACGCUCCAUGCACGAAAGCGUGGGGAGCAAACAGG